GAUGAACGCUAGCGGGAGGCCUAACACAUGCAAGCCGAGCGGUAGAGUCUCUUCGGAGACUUGAGAGCGGCGCACGGGUGCGGAACACGUGUGCAACCUGCCUUUAUCUGGGGGAUAGCCUUUCGAAAGGAAGAUUAAUACCCCAUAAUAUACUGGAUGGCAUCAUCUGGUAUUGAAAACUCCGGUGGAUAGAGAUGGGCACGCGCAAGAUUAGAUAGUUGGUGAGGUAACGGCUCACCAAGUCAGCGAUCUUUAGGGGGCCUGAGAGGGUGAUCCCCCACACUGGUACUGAGACACGGACCAGACUCCUACGGGAGGCAGCAGUGAGGAAUAUUGAACAAUGGGUGAGAGCCUGAUCCAGCCAUCCCGCGUGAAGGACGACGGCCCUAUGGGUUGUAAACUUCUUUUGUAUAGGGAUAAACCUAGAUACGUGUAUCUAGCUGAAGGUACUAUACGAAUAAGCACCGGCUAACUCCGUG
rnacentral:rRNA from 1 species